rnacentral:lncRNA from 1 species
GUUGAUCCAAUUGAUCCAUCCUUUUCUACUGCCGUGUAAGAAUAAAGUGGUGCAUAUACUUGCUUCGUUGGCCUUUGCACACAGAAAAGCUAUCCGUUGCUAAACAAGGAAAAAAGUAAACACAUGCUAUUGCUACUCUGGAACUCCAGAUCUUCUUUACCCAUAUUUGACCAAGAAAAGAACCCUUCGUUGGAAUUGGUGGUCUCGGAAAAGAAGUUGUGAAUAUAUGGUAAAAUCUCAUUCCUUUUUAUUUACUUAUUCUUUCAUUGGAGCUUCUUGCAAUUGUUUUAUCUUGGUAUUGUUUUUUAUUAGUUUGAUAUACAUGUCAAUUUGUGUUUUCUUAUCUAAUUUUCACAUAAUCAUCUUUUAACAUGAAAGUAUGGUGAUGAUUGUUUUUUAUUAGAUGCAUUUGGGAUCAAUUUGUACCUUUAUUUAGCUCGACUAUCAUGAAGCACUUAUUAUGAAUUUUAUUAAUAAUUCAAUCAAAGAUUCAUGUUUUUGUUACUAAUUUGAUUCAAAGAAACUACAUGUUAGAGCAUCUCCAACAAGGGAGGUUUAGAGUGGUUUUGGAAGAGCGGAUGAGGAUUUUCACAGACCAGACCACACCUCUGGAGAAGGUGGUUCGGUGAGUGUUGGUUUGCUUAAGCGGACGAGUAAGAGGUGGAAUUGUGGGGACCACCCACUCACAAACCUUUUAUUUUGUUUUUAGUUUAAAAAUGUGGGGUGUGAUGUGCAGGUUUGGAAUGGUUUAUUGUUGUGGGUAAAAGUAGGGUUUGAAAUGGUGGUGGUUUCGAAUAAUAUAUGGCAUGCUGACUAGGCGGCCUUAGGGUUAGGCCGUGAGUUUUCCCGUUAGAAUUAGGGUUUUGUAUUAUGUCUAUUAAUACAGGUGGAUUGUAAAAUACUAGAGUUACAAUAUUAAUAAAGUAUCUCUUUUACCUUUAGAGUGGCAAUUGGUAACUGAAAACUCUCUACCAAUAAUGCUUAUGGAUGUAGUAAGUGUUUGUAAACUUAACCCUAAAUUAAACCAUAUGCAUAGACUCAUAAAACUAACAAAUCUCAUUUGCUUGUCUUGAUUUCUAAACUAACAGGAUCAAUGGUUAGCAAAGUUCUUGAACGUCAUCUUGGGAACCAUGACGGGUCUCUUAACGUGAUGAAGGCAGAAUUUGGCAUACCAACACCAUAUGAUAUGGUCCAUAUCAUAUAACAAGGGAAUGCUACUUCAUUAUAAGAAGUAAUGAGGUGGAUGAUCGUUGUUGGUUGAUUGUUGACGUGCCAUCAAAUCUCCCUAGAAAGCCAUCUGCCUGUCUAUGUGGGUGCUCAAAUGUAUGUAAAUAUUUGUAUAUAUUCUAAAUCCAUACAUUGCAAAAAAAAAAAAAAAAAAAAAGUAUGUGUUUUUCUCAUGUUGAAGUCGAUGGUCGACACAAAGAUGAAGAUUGACAAUGGUAUUUUAGAUAUUUUCUGGUAGAAAACUAUUUAUGUCAAAAUGUCUAGUAGUCUAGCUCGAAUUUACACAUUUUACAGCCAAGUUGCCUGU